GGAACUCUUAGUGGACCGGUGGAAUGCGUAGAUAUUAAGAGGAACGCCAAUGGUGAAGACAGUGUACUGGGCUUGUACUGACGCUGAGGUGCGAAAGCGUGGGGAGCGAACGGGAUUAGAUACCCCGGUAGUCCACGCUGUAAACGAUGUCUACUAGGUUGUGGAGGUUCUGACACUUUCACGAUCGAAGCAAAAGUGUUAAGUAGACCGCCUGGGGAGUACGGUCGCAAGGCUAAAACUCAAAGGAAUUGACGGGGGCUCACACAAGCGGUGGAGCAUGUGGAUUAAUUCGAAGCAACGCGCAGAACCUUACCUGGGUUUGACAUGUAUGGAUGCCUAUCUGGGAACAGAGUCGGCUGCCCUCGGGUGAAACUUACACAGGUGCUGCAUGGCUGUCGUCAGCUCGUGUCGUGAGAUGUCGAGUUAAGUCCUUUAACGAGCGAAACCCUUACCGUUAGUUGCCAGCGCGUCAUGGCGGGGACUCUAGCGGGACUGCCGGUGUCAAACCGGAGGAAGGCGGGGAUGACGUCAAGUCCUCAUGGCCUUUAUGCCCAGGGCUUCACACGUGCUACAAUGGUCACUACAGAGCGAAGCGAGACCGCGAGGUGGAGCAAAUCGCAAAAAAGUGGCCUCAGUUCGGAUUGCAGGCUGACAACUCGCCUGCAUGAAGUUGGAAUCGCUAGUAAUCGCGUAUCAGCAAUGACGCGGUGAAUAUGUUCCUGAGCCUUGUACACACCGCCCGUCAAGUGAUGGAAGUCGGGAGCACCCGAAGUUGGUCUGCCAACCUUUUAUUAGGAGG
rnacentral:rRNA from 1 species